rnacentral:rRNA from 1 species
UUCUUUAGAAAAUAUUAAAGAUAAAGCCUGCUCAAUGUUGAGAAAUAAAUAGCCGCGGUAUUUUAACUGCGCGAAGGUAGCAUAAUUAAUUGUCUUUUAAUUGGUGACUUGUCUGAACGGCUAAAUGAGAAUAUUUUUUUCUUUAACUUUACUGAAAUUAUUUUCUAGGAUCAAAAAAUCUAGGUGUAUAAGAAAGAAGAGAAGACCCUGAUGAAUUUUACAAAAUAUAAAAUUGUUUAAAUGGGGCAUUUCAAUUUAUAUUAAAUUUGUGUCAUGAUCCUACUUUGAGGAUAAAGAUUAAAAUUACCACAGGGAUAACAGGACAAGACCUGCCAAGAGUACUUAUUAAAGCGGGGGAUUGUUACCUCGAUGUUGAAUCAAAAUUAACUUAUCGGCGCAGAAGUUGGUGUAGUAGGUCUGUUCGACCUUUGAAAGUUUACG